rnacentral:misc_RNA from 1 species
CUUUACCUAUCGUAACGCUUAAUUAGUUGCGGAUUGGGAAGUAUACCAUGACUACGAGAUUUCUUGUUGCUGAAAGUUGGGAUUCUGGGUAUUUUCGCCUGUGGUGGUUUGCCUAGUUGAGCUCUGAACGGGAAAUGUGAUCUUUUCUUGUACUGAGUUCGCCCUGAUUAUUAAGCAGGUUGCAGAGUAUUUAUAUUCUGCGGCUAAAGACCUUUUAUACAUACACGCUGUUGGCGGUUUGUGUGAAUGUGAUGUAGUUCUAGUGGUUCUUCCUUAAUUGUAUGGGUAGUAUUGUUGCAUACUUUAUGGUCUGCUCUGCACAGGGUGCGUGGCUUAGUUCGCUUCGUAACGCUGUACUGAUGUAGUUUAGACUUGUUUGUAGCAUACCCUUAUAAAAUUGGCCCUGACCUCGAUUCGAGCGUGAAUACCCGCUGAAUUUAAGCA